UUUGAUCCUGGCUCAGGACGAACGCUGGCGGCGUGCCUAAUACAUGCAAGUCGAACGCGUCUCCGUUGAUGAUUUUAGGUGCUUGCACCUGAAAGAUUUAACAUUGAGACGAGUGGCGAACUGGUGAGUAACACGUGGGUAACCUGCCCUUGAAGUAGGGGAUAACACUUGGAAACAGGUGCUAAUACCGUAUAACAACCAAAACCACCUGGUUUUGGUUUAAAAGACGGCUUCGGCUGUCACUUUAGGAUGGACCCGCGGCGUAUUAGCUUGUUGGUAAGGUAACGGCCUACCAAGGCGAUGAUACGUAGCCGACCUGAGAGGGUAAUCGGCCACAUUGGGACUGAGACACGGCCCAAACUCCUACGGGAGGCAGCAGUGGGGAAUCUUCCACAAUGGACGAAAGUCUGAUGGAGCAACGCCGCGUGAGUGAUGAAGGGUUUCGGCUCGUAAAACUCUGUUGUUGGAGAAGAACAGGUGUCAGAGUAACUGUUGACAUCUUGACGGUAUCCAACCAGAAAGCCACGGCUAACUACGUGCCAGCAGCCGCGGUAAUACGUAGGUGG
rnacentral:rRNA from 1 species